rnacentral:rRNA from 1 species
GACGAACGCUGGCGGCGUGCCUAAUACAUGCAAGUCGAGCGGACCAAUAGAAGCUUGCUUCUGUUGGUUAGCGGCGGACGGGUGAGUAACACGUGGGCAACCUGCCUGUAAGACUGGGAUAACUUCGGGAAACCGGAGCUAAUACCGGAUAAUUCAUCCCCUCGCAUGAGGGGAUGCUGAAAGUCGGUUUACGCUGACACUUACAGAUGGGCCCGCGGCGCAUUAGCUAGUUGGUGAGGUAAUGGCUCACCAAGGCGACGAGGCGUAGCCGACCUGAGAGGGUGAUCGGCCACACUGGGACUGAGACACGGCCCAGACUCCUACGGGAGGCAGCAGUAGGGAAUCUUCCACAAUGGACGAAAGUCUGAUGGAGCAACGCCGCGUGAGCGAUGAAGGCCUUCGGGUCGUAAAGCUCUGUUGUUAGGGAAGAACAAGUAUCGGAGUAACUGCCGGUACCUUGACGGUACCUAACCAGAAAGCCACGGCUAACUACGUGCCAGCCGCCGCGGUAA